AUUGAACGCUGGCGGCAUGCUUUACACAUGCAAGUCGAACGGUAACAGGUCUUCAGAUGCUGACGAGUGGCGAACGGGUGAGUAAUGUAUCGGAACGUGGCCCAGUAGUGGGGGAUAACUACUCGAAAGAGUGGCUAAUACCGCAUGAGAACUGAGGUUGAAAGCGGGGGACCUUCGGGCCUCGCGCUACUGGAGCGGCCGAUAUCAGAUUAGGUAGUUGGUGGGGUAAAGGCCUACCAAGCCGACGAUCUGUAGCUGGUCUGAGAGGACGACCAGCCACACUGGGACUGAGACACGGCCCAGACUCCUACGGGAGGCAGCAGUGGGGAAUUUUGGACAAUGGACGCAAGUCUGAUCCAGCAAUGCCGCGUGCAGGACGAAGGCCUUCGGGUUGUAACUAGCUUUUGUACAGAACGAAAAGGCUACUGGUUAAUACCUUGGGCGUCAUGACGGUACUGUAAGAAUAAGACACCGGCUAACUACGUGCCAGCAGCCGC
rnacentral:rRNA from 1 species